rnacentral:rRNA from 1 species
UACGAAGGGGGCUAGCGUUGCUCGGAAUCACUGGGCGUAAAGGGUGCGUAGGCGGGUCUUUAAGUCGGGGGUGAAAUCCUGGAGCUCAACUCCAGAACUGCCUUCGAUACUGGAGAGCUUGAGUCCGGGAGAGGUGAGUGGAACUGCGAGUGUAGAGGUGAAAUUCGUAGAUAUUCGCAAGAACACCAGUGGCGAAGGCGGCUCACUGGCCCGGUACUGACGCUGAGGUGCGAAAGCGUGGGGAGCAAACAGG